rnacentral:rRNA from 1 species
GACGAACGCUGGCGGCGUGCUUAACACAUGCAAGUCGAACGAAAAGAGGGAAAGAGCUUGCUCUUUCCGGAAUUGAGUGGCAAACGGGUGAGUAACACGUAAACAACCUGCCUUCAGGAUGGGGACAACAGACGGAAACGACUGCUAAUACCGAAUAAGUUCCAAGAGCCGCAUGGCCCAUGGAAGAAAAGGUGGCCUCUACCUGUAAGCUAUCGCCUGAAGAGGGGUUUGCGUCUGAUUAGCUGGUUGGAGGGGUAACGGCCCACCAAGGCGACGAUCAGUAGCCGGUCUGAGAGGAUGAACGGCCACACUGGAACUGAGACACGGUCCAGACUCCUACGGGAGGCAGCAGUGGGGGAAUCUUCCGCAAUGGGCGAAAGCCUGACGGAGCAACGCCGCGUGAGUGAUGACGGCCUC